GGCGUGCCUAACACCAUGCAAGUGGAGCGUUUUUUUUUCGAAAGAGAGCGGCGGAGGGGUGAGUAACGCGUGGUUACCUUCCCCUGUUCACACGGAUAACAUACCGAAAAGGUAUGCUAAUACGAGAUAAUAUGCUUUUUUCGCAUGGUGAAAGUAUCAAAGCUUUUGCGGUACAGGAUGGACCCGCGUCUGAUUAGCUAGUUGGUAAGGUAACGGCUUACCAAGGCGACGAUCAGUAGCCGACCUGAGAGGGUGAUCGGCCACAUUGGAACUGAGACACGGUCCAAACUCCUACGGGAGGCAGCAGUGGGGAAUAUUGCACAAUGGGCGAAAGCCUGAUGCAGCAACGCCGCGUGAGCGAUGAAGGCCUUCGGGUCGUAAAGCUCUGUCCUCAAGGAAGAUAAUGACGGUACUUGAGGAGGAAGCCCCGGCUAACUACGUGCCAGCAGCCGCGGUAAUACGUAGGGGGCUAGCGUUAUCCGGAAUUACUGGGCGUAAAGGGUGCGUAGGUGGUUUCUUAAGUCAGAGGUGAAAGGCUACGGCUCAACCGUAGUAAGCCUUUGAAACUGGGAAACUUGAGUGCAGGAGAGGAGAGUGGAAUUCCUAGUGUAGCGGUGAAAUGCGUAGAUAUUAGGAGGAACACCAGUUGCGAAGGCGGCUCUCUGGACUGUAACUGACACUGAGGCACGAAAGCGUGGGGAGCAAACAGGAUUAGAUACCCUGGUAGUCCACGCCGUAAACGAUGAGUACUAGCUGUCGGAGGUUACCCCCUUCGGUGGCGCAGCUAACGCAU
rnacentral:rRNA from 1 species